rnacentral:rRNA from 1 species
GACGAACGCUGGCGGCGUGCUUAACACAUGCAAGUCGAACGGAAAGGCCCUGCUUUUGUGGGGUGCUCGAGUGGCGAACGGGGGAGUAACACGUGAGUAACCUGCGCUUGACUUUGGGGUAAAUUCAGGAAACUCGGGCGCAUACCGGAUAUGAGCUCCUGCUGCAUGGGGUGUGUGGGAAAGUGGCGGCGGUUGGGGAUGGACUCGCGGCUUAUCAGCUUGUUGGUGAGGUAGUGGCGUACAAAGGCGUUGACGGGUAGCCGGCCUGAGAGGGUGACCGGCCACAUAGGGCCUGGGAUAGGGCCCAGAGUGCAACGGGAGGCAGCGGUGGGAGAUAUUGCGCAAUGGGCGGAAGCCGUGUGCAGCAACGCCGCGUGCGGGAAGACGGCCUUCGGGGUGGAAACCGCUUGCGCCUGUGACGAAGCGCGAGUGACGGUAAUGGGUAAAGAAGCAACGGCUAACUACGUG